GGUUAAGCGACUAAGCGUACACGGUGGAUGCCCUGGCAGUCAGAGGCGAUGAAGGACGUGCUAAUCUGCGAUAAGCGUCGGUAAGGUGAUAUGAACCGUUAUAACCGGCGAUUUCCGAAUGGGGAAACCCAGUGUGUUUCGACACACUAUCAUUAACUGAAUCCAUAGGUUAAUGAGGCGAACCGGGGGAACUGAAACAUCUAAGUACCCCGAGGAAAAGAAAUCAACCGAGAUUCCCCCAGUAGCGGCGAGCGAACGGGGAGGAGCCCAGAGCCUGAAUCAGUGUGUGUGUUAGUGGAAGCGUCUGGAAAGGCGCGCGAUACAGGGUGACAGCCCCGUACACAAAAAUGCACAUACUGUGAGCUCGAUGAGUAGGGCGGGACACGUGGUAUCCUGUCUGAAUAUGGGGGGACCAUCCUCCAAGGCUAAAUAC
rnacentral:rRNA from 1 species